rnacentral:rRNA from 1 species
AGCAGUGAGGAAUAUUGGUCAAUGGGCGAGAGCCUGAACCAGCCAAGUCGCGUGAGGAGUACUGCCCUAUGGGUGUAAACCUCUUUUGUCGGGGAGCAAAAGCCGGACGUGUCCGUCUGUGAGAGUACCCGAAGAAAAAGCAUCGGCUAACUCCGUGCC